UGGAAAACUUUGGAAUUUGAUUAUGCGC
rnacentral:sRNA from 1 species